AGAUAAGUUUAGAAAAUUGGGUUGCCUCCCAGGUAGCGCUUGUUUAACGUCACGAGCCUGACCCAAACCUUUCUAGCACUUGUCAGUAAGUGCAAAUCUUUCCAACACCCAUCAGUAGGUGUGCUUCCCUGUAUCAUCACCAAGAUUUAAAAAUUUAAAGUACAAAAAUAUUGUUCUUGGAUCACUAGGGUGCCUCCCAAUAAGCGCUCUUUUAACGUCAUUAGCUUGACCCGGUAAAGCUCAAACACCCAUCAGUAGGUGUUGAUAUUCUUCUUAUCACCAACUUUAAAAGCUUUGUCUGCUUUAAUAGUCUUGAAAACCCAUAACCUACUCUUGAAUUUCACUUGAUGUGUCAGGUUUGGGUUUGUCACUUUUCACAUCAGGGUGUUCGUGAACCAAUUCUCCUUCCUUAUCCGCCUCCUGAUGAUCUUGUGAUCCUAGUGUAAAUUUUAUCCUGCAUAUACUAAAGAACACUGCACUAAAGCAUAGAAUUAGUCCAAAAAAAAUAAAAACAAUAAAAAUAUUAUUUAAUUUUUAAUUUUCGUUUUUUCUUUUAAAUAAAAAUAAAUAAAAACAGAAAAAUAAAAACACCCCUCAGUAGGUGUUAAUUCUCUUUGCUUGAUAUUCUUUCUUUUUCUUCUUUCUGCUGAAUUUCUUCAGAAAAUUAAGAACACCAAGCACCUGUUUCCAUGUAUCAAUCAUAGGAACUUUAAUCUCCAUUUUCUUGAAGAUCUCCAUAAAGCACUUAAACUUCUUUUCCUUCCGAUGAUUUUUCUUUUGACGAGGAAGAGGUUUUGCAUAUGAUCUUUUCUUCUUUCCUCUCUUCCUCUUUUUCUUAAUCUUAUCCUCCCUCAACUUUCUCUUUUUCUCUUUUCUUCUUUUCUUCUUUAUUUUCGCAUAUUUUUUCUUUUUUUCUUUUUUCUCAACCACUGCUUUUUCUCCCUCAUUAUCAUUAUCUUCCUCAACCAACUUUUCUGUUUCUUCUUCCUUUAAAUCUCUCUCUAUCUUUUCUUCCUCAAUCUUCUCCUCCUUUUUCUCCAAUCUUUUCUCCUCUAUCUUUUCUUCCUUAAUCUUCCCCUCCUUUUCUCCAAUUUUUUCUCCUCUAUCUUCUCCUUUAUCUUUUCUUCCUCAAUCUUCUCCUCCUUUUUCU
rnacentral:lncRNA from 1 species